rnacentral:rRNA from 1 species
CGCGGUAAUACGUAGGUGGCAAGCGUUAUCCGGAAUUAUUGGGCGUAAAGCGCGCGUAGGCGGUUUUUUAAGUCUGAUGUGAAAGCCCACGGCUCAACCGUGGAGGGUCAUUGGAAACUGGAAAACUUGAGUGCAGAAGAGGAAAGUGGAAUUCCAUGUGUAGCGGUGAAAUGCGCAGAGAUAUGGAGGAACACCAGUGGCGAAGGCGACUUUCUGGUCUGUAACUGACGCUGAUGUGCGAAAGCGUGGGGAUCAAACAGGAUUAGAUACCCUGGUAGUCCACGCCGUAAACGAUGAGU